rnacentral:rRNA from 1 species
CACGUAGGGGGCGAGCGUUGUCCGGAAUUACUGGGCGUAAAGCGCGCGCAGGCGGAUGAUUAAGUCAGAUGUGAAACCUCUGGGCUCAACCCAGAGCAUGCAUCUGAUACUGGUUAUCUUGAGUGUAGAAGAGGAGAGUGGAAUUCCUAGUGUAGCGGUGAAAUGCGUAGAUAUUAGGAGGAACACCAGUGGCGAAGGCGACUCUCUGGUCUACAACUGACGCUGAGGCGCGAAAGCGUGGGUAGCAAACAGGAUUAGAUACC